AGAGUUUGAUCCUGGCUCAGAACGUACGCUGGCGGCACGCCUAACACAUGCAAGUCGAACGAAGUAGCAAUACUUAGUGGCAGACGGGUGAGUAACAUGUGGGUAUCUACCCUUUGGCCUGGAAUAACACGAGGAAACUUGUGCUAAUACCGGAUAAGUCUUUACGGAGAAAGCUUUAUGCACCAUUGGAUGAGCCCGCACUUGAUUAGUUUGUUGGUAGGGUAAUGGCCUACCAAGACUAUGAUCAAUAGCUGAUUUGAGAGGAUGAUCAGCCACAUUGGGACUGAGACACGGCCCAAACUCCUACGGGAGGCAGCAGUGGGGAAUCUUGCACAAUGGAGGAAACUCUGAUGCAGCGAUGCCGCGUGAGUGAAGAAGGCCUUUGGGUUGUAAAGCUCUUUCGUCGGGGAAGAAAAUGACUGUACCCGAAUAAGAAGGUCCGGCUAACUUCGUGCCAGCAGCCGCGGUAAUACGAAGGGACCUAGCGUAGUUCGGAAUUACUGGGCUUAAAGAGUUCGUAGGUGGUUGAAAAAGUUGGUGGUGAAAUCCCAGAGCUUAACUCUGGAACUGCCAUCAAAACUUUUCAGCUAGAGUAUGAUAGAGGAAAGCAGAAUUUCUAGUGUAGAGGUGAAAUUCGUAGAUAUUAGAAAGAAUACCAAUUGCGAAGGCAGCUUUCUGGAUCAUUACUGACACUGAGGAACGAAAGCAUGGGUAGCGAAGAGGAUUAGAUACCCUCGUAGUCCAUGCCGUAAACGAUGUGUGUUAGACGUUGGAAAUUUAUUUUCAGUGUCGCAGGGAAACCGAUAAACACACCGCCUGGGGAGUACGA
rnacentral:rRNA from 1 species